GCCGAUGUAGCUCAGUGGCAGAGCAAUUGAUUCGUAAUCAAUAGGCCGUCGGUUCAACUCCGAUCAUCGGCUCCA
rnacentral:tRNA from 1 species